rnacentral:rRNA from 1 species
GUAUUCCUACGGGGCGCAGCAGUGAGGCAUAUUGGUCAAUGGGCGGGAGCCUGAACCAGCCAAGUCGCGUGAGGGAAGACGGUCCUACGGAUUGUAAACCUCUUUUGCCGGGGAGCAACGGGGUCCUUGCGAGGGCCCGAUGAGAGUACCCGGAGAAAAAGCAUCGGCUAACUCCGUGCCAGCAGCCGCGGUAAUACGGAGGAUGCGAGCGUUAUCCGGAUUUAUUGGGUUUAAAGGGUGCUGAGGCGGGCUGUUAAGUCAGCGGUCAAAUGUCGGGGCUCAACCCCGGCCUGCUGUU